rnacentral:lncRNA from 1 species
CACUUUAACCAUAGUAAAGAAUUCGCAUAAAAUAUUGGUGAUGAUCGCAUAUCAUUAUUUAUUAGUAUAUACUCCCUCCGUUUCAAAAUACAUGUCCAAGUCAACCACUUCACAUAUGCCAAUGCAUAAUUUUGACUGUUAAUAUCUUUAAUUUUCUAAAGUAAAAAAUUAUAAAAAUUUAAUAUUUUGAAAAUAUUUGUCGAGACAAAUCAAACAACAUCUUACAUGCUAAUAUUUGUAUUUAUAUAUUAGUUAAAAAGUAUGGUCAAAGUAAGUCAAGUGAAUAGUGCACAUUGCAAAAAUUGGACAUGUAUUUUGAAAUGGAUGGAGUAUAACUUAAUUAUAUUUUGUUUAUUUCUCUUUUAGCAUUGCAUGGAAGACAAGGGAAAACCUCGUACUUUCCCAAACAUAUCUCACCUUAAUUUAAGCCAUGUUAUAACCUGUAAAACCUUAAAGUGUAUACAUAGUAUAAUCUUGAAUGUAUGUUUAGAAUUGUUUCAAGGCUAUGGCAAGAUGCAUUUACAUGAAGACUAGAGUGGACAAAUAUCGUGACCAGCCCCACUGAUUUUAGAAGGUACAUACAUGUAUCUUGGAAAAGAGUAUGCUUGAAAGCAUUAACUAUCAUAUCUAAGAGUGUCCCGCUUGCAUAGAAGUGGUAAGUUAGUCAAGCCUAGAAGUGGAAUAAAUAAUUAUCAAAGCAACCUAUUUGAAAAGGUAUUUUCUCUGAAAAAUAUGCAAAUUUAUAAUUCAAAUUCUUUUUGUUACUUGAGAAUAAACAACAACUUUAGUUUGGGGGUAGUGAUGACAAGUCAUAUUUCGUUAUUUUUAGCAUAUUUUUUAGUCAUUUUAGACAUGUUUUGACUCAAAUAAGAGGAGUUUAAAUCAUUUGUUAAUGGUUUAAGGGACAUUUUGUUAUGUUUUCAUAUCGAGUCAUGUAAUCCUGGUUCUUCCCAAAACCAAGAAAUUCUUAGGUAUUUUUGAUGUAUUUCAUUGAAAAUCAUGUAAUUCGGCAAAGUAAGACACGUCAUGCAGAAUUGGGAAGUCAUGGAAUGAUGUUUCAAGAGGCAUAUGAAGAUAUUACAAGUUGAGGAAAUUCUAUCUCAAUUCCGAAGACAAGUUUGAAGGAAGAAACACUCAAAAAGAUGAAGAAGAAAAAAAAAGGAAAAUACGCAUUGAAAGAAAGUGUUAUGCGUCUCGGGUGUGCUGCCACGCAUCAUGGGUGUGCAAAAUUGUGCUAAAAAGCACUAUUUUAACGCACAUGUGCGAGGCGCAUGCAGUACUGGGAAAUAACAACAUUUUGUUGUUUUUCUCAUACAGGUUGGGGGGAUAAUAGUUUAUCAACCCAUACCCACUUGGAAAUCAAUCUAUAAAUACAAGAGCCUUCAUUCACAAAUUCUCAUUCAGAAUGAAGCGGUUCAAGAGAAAGGCAUGCACUAGGAGGGUCAAGGGAGGAGUCUCUCCUCAACUUUUAUCCUUAGAGUAUGUUUUAU